rnacentral:rRNA from 1 species
UACGAGGGGGGCAAGCGUUGUUCGGAAUUAUUGGGCGUAAAGGGUGCGUAGGCGGUUUUGUAAGUCUUGUGUGAAAUCUUCAGGCUCAACUUGAAGACUGCACGAGAAACUGCAGGGCUUGAGUGUGGGAGAGGUGAGUGGAAUUCCUGGUGUAGCGGUGAAAUGCGUAGAUAUCGGUGGGAACGCCAGUGGCGAAAGCGGCAAACUUGACCCUUCCUGACGCUGAUGCGCGAAAGCUAGGGGAGCAAACGGG